rnacentral:rRNA from 1 species
AUGUUGUCUCUCUUGAGUGGAUCCUGAGUACGACGGAGCACGUGAAAUUCCGUCGGAAUCUGGGAGGACCAUCUCCUAAGGCUAAAUACUCUCUAGUGACCGAUAGUGAACCAGUACCGUGAGGGAAAGGUGAAAAGCACCCCGGAAGGGGAGUGAAAUAGAACCUGAAACCGUGUGCUUACAAGUAGUCAGAGCCCGUUAAUGGGUGAUGGCGUGCCUUUUGUAGAAUGAACCGGCGAGUUACGAUUUGAUGCAAGGUUAAGCAGUAAAUGUGGAGCCGUAGCGAAAGCGAGUCUGAAUAGGGCGUUUAGUAUUUGGUCGUAGACCCGAAACCAGGUGAUCUACCCUUGGUCAGGUUGAAGUUCAGGUAACACUGAAUGGAGGACCGAACCGACUUACGUUGAAAAGUGAGCGGAUGAACUGAGGGUAGCGGAGAAAUUCCAAUCGAACCUGGAGAUAGCUGGUUCUCUCCGAAAUAGCUUUAGGGCUAGCCUCAAGUGAUGAUUAUUGGAGGUAGAGCACUGUUUGGACGAGGGGCCCCUCUCGGGUUACCGAAUUCAGACAAACUCCGAAUGCCAAUUAAUUUAACUUGGGAGUCAGAACAUGGGUGAUAAGGUCCGUGUUCGAAAGGGAAACAGCCCAGACCACCAGCUAAGGUCCCAAAAUAUAUGUUAAGUGGAAAAGGAUGUGGCGUUGCCCAGACAACUAGGAUGUUGGCUUAGAAGCAGCCAUCAUUUAAAGAGUGCGUAAUAGCUCACUAGUCGAGUGACACUGCGCCGAAAAUGUACCGGGGCUAAACAUAUUACCGAAGCUGUGGAUUGUCCUUUGGACAAUGGUAGGAGAGCGUUCUAAGGGCGUUGAAGCAUGAUCGUAAGGACAUGUGGAGCGCUUAGAAGUGAGAAUGCCGGUGUGAGUAGCGAAAGACGGGUGAGAAUCCCGUCCACCGAUUGACUAAGGUUUCCAGAGGAAGGCUCGUCCGCUCUGGGUUAGUCGGGUCCUAAGCUGAGGCCGACAGGCGUAGGCGAUGGAUAACAGGUUGAUAUUCCUGUACCACCUAUAAUCGUUUUAAUCGAUGGGGGGACGCAGUAGGAUAGGCGAAGCGUGCGAUUGGAUUGCACGUCUAAGCAGUAAGGCUGAGUAUUAGGCAAAUCCGGUACUCGUUAAGGCUGAGCUGUGAUGGGGAGAUAGACAUUGUGUCUCGAGUCGAAUCGAACAGUAGAUAAAUGAA